AUGUUCUGGAACCAUCCUGAGGUCCGGGCGGCCGUGACCCUGCUGGAGUCCGGGGGGGACCUCCAGCCCCCCGGGGGGUCCCUGCGCCUCCUCUGCCGAGGACAAGGAUUCGAAUUCGGGAAAUUUGGGAUGGGCUGGAUCCGCCAGAGACCUGGGAAGGCGCUGGAAUUCCUUGCACGGAUCAGCAGCACUGGUGGCAGCACCGACUACGCGCCAUCCGUGCAGGGCCGGUUCACCAUCAGCAGGGACAACGGGCAGAGCUCGGUGACGCUGAGCAUGAACAACCUCCAGGACGAGGAUUCCGGGGUUUAUUUCUGUGCCAAAUCUGCUGGUGGUUACGGUGCUGGUGCUGCUGCUUUUGGUGACGAUCGU